rnacentral:rRNA from 1 species
GAUGUAAGGUUUCCACGGCGUCGAGCGGCGGACGGGUGAGUAAUGCAUAGGAAUCUGCCCGAUAGUGGGGGAUAACCUGGGGAAACCCAGGCUAAUACCGCAACGUCCUACGGGAGAAAGCAGGGGAUCUUCGGACCUUGCGCUAUCGGAUGAGCCUAUGUCGGAUUAGCUAGUUGGUGGGGUAAUGGCCCACCAAGGCGACGAUCCGUAGCUGGUCUGAGAGGAUGAUCAGCCACAUCGGGACUGAGACACGGCCCGAACUCCUACGGGAGGCAGCAGUGGGGAAUAUUGGACAAUGGGCGAAAGCCUGAUCCAGCCAUGCCGCGUGUGUGAAGAAGGCCCUCGGGUUGUAAAGCACUUUCAGUGAGGAAGAAGGCCUUCGGGUUAAUACCCUGGAGGAAGGACAUCACUCACAGAAGAAGCACCGGCUAACUCCGUGCCAGCAGCCGCGGUAAUACGGAGGGUGCGAGCGUUAAUCGGAAUUACUGGGCGUAAAGCGCGCGUAGGCGGUUUGAUAAGCCGGUUGUGAAAGCCCCGGGCUCAACCUGGGAACGGCAUCCGGAACUGUCAGGCUAGAGUGCAGGAGAGGAAGGUAGAAUUCCCGGUGUAGCGGUGAAAUGCGUAGAGAUCGGGAGGAAUACCAGUGGCGAAGGCGGCCUUCUGGACUGACACUGACGCUGAGGUGCGAAAGCGUGGUAAGCAAACAGGAUUAGAUACCCUGGUAGUCCACGCCGUAAACGAUGUCGACUAGCCGUUGGGCUCCUUGAGAGCUUUGUGGCGCAGUUAACGCGAUAAGUCGACCGCCUGGGGAGUACGGCCGCAAGGUUAAAACUCAAUGAAUUGACGGGGCCCGCACAAGCGGUGGAGCAUGUGGUUUAAUUCGAUGCAACGCGAGACCUUACCUACUCUUGACAUCGAGAGACUUGGCAGAGAUGCCUUGUGCUUCGGGACUCUCAGACAGUGCUGCAUGCUGUCGUCAGCUCGUGUGUGAAUGUUGGGUAGUCCGUACGAGCGCACCUGUCCCUAUUGCAGCGAUCGUCGGACUCUAGAGACUGCGGUGACACCGAGAAAAGUGACGACUCAGUCAUCAUGGCCCUACGGUAGGCUACCACUGCUCAUGCCGUCCAAGGUGCGAACCCCAGGUGACUAUUCGAACGCUAUUCGGAUCGAUCGCACUGACUCUGACCGGAUCGUAUCUGAUCGAGUACGGUAACUCGGCCG